ACCAGCUGGCUUAUUGUGUGUUCUUUUUCCCCUCUUGCCUUGGUGGUGUGGUUAGCUGGGGAGCUGGCAGCAGAGACUGCUAUGGUGAAGAGGGAGAAGUUUUUAUGUUAGUGAUGCUGAAACUGGAUGAAGAUGACCUCAAAAGUGUAUAUGGGCACACUACUACCUCUUCUGAGGAAGAACACCCAAGAAACAGCUUCUCCACGUGCUGGUGACCCCAGGACAAGGCGUUUUUAAGAUAAAUGGUAAAACUGAACUGGAAAUCCAUCUGGCCAGCUGCCUGAUCUAAUGAAUAACCCCACUUUGGCUCCUGCAAUGUAAGCAGAAAGAGUUCUCUCCCGGCCGCUUUCGUCUGUCAUGAAUCUACAAGACAGCCGACAUAAUAUCUGGGCGACAACAGCGUGCUAACAGUGCAGUGACUUCCAUUUUCUUUGCUUUCUAUUGAUUUUCACUUAAUAACUGGCGAAAUACUAAACGUCCGCCCUGAGUACCUAAUAAAUCCUGCCUGAGCUUUUUAUUGAGGAGAAUUUAAUAAAAACAACCAUUGCG